AUGGCCGAAGCCUACGACCACCUCUUCAAGUUACUGCUGAUCGGGGACUCGGGAGUGGGCAAGACUUGUCUGAUCAUUCGCUUUGCAGAAGACAACUUCAACAACACUUACAUCUCCACCAUUGUAAUUGAUUUCAAGAUCCGCACUGUGGAUAUAGAGGGGAAGAAGAUCAAACUACAAGUCUGGGACACGGCUGACCAAGAGUGAUUCAAGACAAUAAGUACUGCCUACUACCGUGGAGCCAUGGGUAUUAUCCUAGUAUACGACAUCAUGGAUGAGAAAUCUUUCGAGAAUAUUCAGAACUGGAUGAAAAGCAUCAAGGAGAAUGGCUCGGCUGGGGUGGAACACCUCUUGCUAGGGAACAAAUGUGACAUGGAGGCCAAGAGGAAGGUGCAGAAGGAGCAGGCCGAUAAGUUGCCUCCAGAGCAAGGAAUCCGAUUUUUCGAAACUAGUGCUAAAUCCAGUAGGAAUGUGGAUGAGGCUUUUAGCUCCCUGGCCCAGGACAUCUUGCUCAAGUCAGGAGGCCGGAGAUCAGGAAACGGCAACAAGCCUCCCAGUACUGACCUGAAAACUUGCGACAAGAAGAACACCAGCAAGUGCUCCCUGGGCUGAGGACCCUUUCUCGCCCCCCCACCCUGGAAGCUGAACCUGAGGGAGACAGGGCAGAGGGAGAGAAGAGAAAAGGAAAAAGCAGAAAGGAAAAGAAGGAAGAGAGAGGAAGGGAGAAGGGAGAGGAAUGGAUUGAGGAAGUGAAAGAAGGUAAGGAGGUAGGAAGAGGGAGGAGGAAAGGAAGGGGAGAUGGCCUCAAGCUUCAGACCUUACCUGGGUUUUCAGGGCAAACAUAAAUGUAAAUACACUGAUUUAUUCUGUUACUAGAUCAGGUUUUAGGGUCCUGCAAAGGGCUAGCUCGGCACUACACUAGCGGAUUUGCUCCUGUUCUGUCAUUUUUCAUGGUCUUCCUUGGUUUUAAAGGCCGCCAUUUGCACA